GGGCGUAUGGUGUAGUGGUAUCACUCAUGCUUUGCAGCGAUUUCCGGUUUGAUUUCGAGAUCAUCCUUUGUAUGCGGUCCAGGGUUCAAACCCCUGUGCGUCCA